GCCUUCGUGGUGUAACGGUAGCACACUUAGCGCAAAUUCGACAGGUCCAGGUUCGAGUCCCGGUGAGGGCA
rnacentral:tRNA from 1 species